AAAACAGCAAAGAUUCUGACAGGAUGAUUUUAGAAAACAGUGUUGUCCAGCACCAUAUCCUCAGUGUGAUUAACAAAAGUCAUUUGUUCAGACUCACAUCGCAUAUCCCUGUCCCGUCACAGGGAGCACCUAAAAGUCCACAAAACCCAGCACCCGGAUCUUGGUUUCUAAUAUCAUCCUCUAACAAAGGGAACCAGAGCUUCUUGGAGAAAUGGCUGAUUCCAGAGUUGGGGCAGGACAUGGGCAAGAGGAACCUGGAGCAUCUUGUAGUGCUAGACAGACAUCUUUCCAAGGUUCCAUCUGCUGGAUGACCUUAAACUUGGCACACGGAUUUGUAACCCUCCUUCCUUGCUGACACAGAUGCAGCGUGCCUCCUGUCUUGCCAAGAGUGAUCUCACUGGCCCCGGGACAAAGCAAACGGGCAAAAGGGACACAGUAAGAGGGCUCUCCGGG
rnacentral:lncRNA from 1 species